UGGGGAAUCUUGCGCAAUGGGCGAAAGCCUGACGCAGCGACGCCGCGUGCGGGAUGAAGGCCUUCGGGUUGUAAACCGCUUUCAGCAGGGACGAUCGUGACGGUACCUGCAGAAGAAGCCCCGGCCAACUACGUGCCAGCAGCCGCGGUAAUACGUAGGGGGCGAGCGUUGUCCGGAUUUAUUGGGCGUAAAGAGCUCGUAGGCGGUUUGGUAAGUCAGGUGUGAAAUCUCCACGCUCAACGUGGAGGGGCCACCUGAUACUGCCAUGACUUGAGUACGGUAGAGGAGUGUGGAAUUCCAGGUGUAGCGGUGAAAUGCGCAGAUAUCGGGAGGAACACCCGUAGCGAAGGCGGCACUCUGGGCCGAUACUGACGCUGAGGAGCGAAAGCGUGGGGAGCAAACA
rnacentral:rRNA from 1 species